rnacentral:rRNA from 1 species
GACGAACGCUGGCGGCGUGCUUAACACAUGCAAGUCGAACGGAAAGGCCCUGCUUUUGUGGGGUGCUCGAGUGGCGAACGGGUGAGUAACACGUGAGUAACCUGCCCUUGACUUUGGGAUAACUUCAGGAAACUGGGGCUAAUACCGGAUAGGAGCUCCUGCUGCAUGGUGGGGGUUGGAAAGUUUCGGCGGUUGGGGAUGGACUCGCGGCUUAUCAGCUUGUUGGUGGGGUAGUGGCUUACCAAGGCUUUGACGGGUAGCCGGCCUGAGAGGGUGACCGGCCACAUUGGGACUGAGAGACGGCCCAGACUCCUACGGGAGGCAGCAGUGGGGAAUAUUGCACAAUGGGCGGAAGCCUGAGGCAGCAACGCCGCGUGCGGGAUGACGGCCUUCAGGUUGUAAACCGCUUUCGCCUGUGACGAAGCGUGAGUGGCGGUAAUGGAUAAAGAAGCACCGGCUAACUACGUG